GAUGAACGCUGACAGAAUGCUUAACACAUGCAAGUCAACUUGAACUUCGGUUUGGGUGGCGGACGGGUGAGUAACGCGUAAAGAACUUGCCCCACAGUUAGGGACAACAUUUGGAAACGAAUGCUAAUACCUGAUAUUAUGAUUUUAGGGCAUCCUAGAAUUAUGAAAGCUAUAUGCGCUGUGAGAGAGCUUUGCGUCCCAUUAGCUAGUUGGAGAGGUAACGGCUCACCAAGGCGAUGAUGGGUAGCCGGCCUGAGAGGGUGAACGGCCACAAGGGGACUGAGACACGGCCCUUACUCCUACGGGAGGCAGCAGUGGGGAAUAUUGGACAAGGGACCAAGAGUCUGAUCCAGCAAUUCUGUGUGCACGAUGAAGUUUUUCGGAAUGUAAAGUGCUUUCAGUUGGGAAGAAAAAAAUGACGAUACCAACAGAAGAAGUGACGGCUAAAUACGUG
rnacentral:rRNA from 1 species